GGGUUGAUGAGACAAAGGAUGUUGCAUCCAGGAUGAGGAUGGUAAUCAAAGGUGAGUUUGAUUAGUUUGUUUCCAUUUAGUACUUAUGUUUGUAUUGGCUACUUGCUCUCAACCUCUUAUGCCUUGAACAUGUUUAGAUAAAAUCUCAGUUUCAAUUAUCUCAUGUAAUCCUUUUAUAUAUAUAUAUAUAUAUAUAUAUAUAUAUUGGAAGUUUGAAGAUGUCACUGGCACAUGGGGCUACCUCGCCUAGAAAAUUAUUGCAUGUAAUUCUCCUUAUAAUAUUAAAAGGAGUUUGUCUUCCAAGUCUAGACUUCUAUACCAAUCGUGUCCCCUUCUCAAGUGAUGACUUAGUAGUUCCUAGUAUCUGUCCUACCAUUAUGUCCAUUGAUAAAGAAGCUUGAGUGACAUCAUUCUAUUCUUCAAACAAGGAUAGAGCUAUUCAGACAACUCGUAGUUUACGCUAUGUUAUUGAGGGAGAAACCAGACUCAGUCUUAGGAAGACCACGUGAUUCGAUUUUUGGAGAAAAAUGAAGCAACAGGGCCCACCAGUAAUGUCUUUACACUGUAUGUGUGUAUAUGAACGGUAUACGUUAGUCCAAAGUUAAUAUGCUAGGUGACAUGUCAACAAUAAUUUCCACAACUAAUACAAUAUUCCUCGAGGAGUUUGUUUCCAUUUAGUACUUAUGUUUGUAUUGGCUACUUGCUCUCAACCUCUUAUGCCUUGAACAUGUUUAGAUAAAAUCUCAGUUUCAAUUAUCUCAUGUAAUCCUUAAUAUAUAUAUAUAUAUAUAUAAAGGAGUUUGUGUCCUCCAAGUCUAGUCUUCCAUAUCAAUCGUCUUUCCUUCUCAAGUGAUGACUUGCAGUUCUUUGUAUCAGUUCCACCAUCGUGUUCAUCGAUAAAGAAGCUUGAGUUACAUCAUUCUAUUCUUCAAACGAGGACAGAGCCCUUCAAACAACUCAAAGUUUACGUUACGUUGCCGAGAGAGAAAUCAGAUUCAGUUUUGGGAAGAUCAUGUGAUUUGAUCUUUGAAGAAAAAUGACGCAACAGGGCCCAUCAGUAAUGUCAUUAUACUGUGUGUAUGUAAACGGUACACAUCCAUGAAUUAUAGCUUGGAGAAGGAACUCUUGAGGUCACACAAUUACCUGAGGUGAGUUUGUAUUGGGUAAAUAUUCAUGUUUGGUUGACCAUUUGAUCUCCACUUAUGCCUAUAUAAUGUUGCAGUGUAUCGUCUUUGGGCUUAAUGAUAUAACUUAAUGCUGUUUUGGGUAAUGUUGUGUUUGAAAUUUUCAUCCCAAAUACAUUUCAAAGUUCAUGUGAGAGCCACAUAGAAUGAGAACAUUUUUGGGACAGAAAUUUGGUAUUUAA
rnacentral:lncRNA from 1 species